GAUGCCCCCAAGCAGACAAGACCAGAAGGCAGCCAGCCCGAGAGAACCUGAGCCUUCACCCAGCAAGGUCUGUGGCUGCAGGCGGCCACUCCCGACCCGAGCCCCGCCCUGUGCUGCCCCUCCUUCAAGUGUUCCAGCCACAGAUACCGAAAAGGCACCAGGGAGAGGAGGAGGGAAAAGACACGCAGAUGGCACAGAGUGGAUGUGGCCUCUCUAAGUAGUCUGAAUCCGCCAAAAUAAUCAAAGACAGAACAGUCAUCGGCAGAGCACUUCACACAGGAAGCAUCUAGGAAGGGCUUGGUCGGACGUCUGAACGGAGACUGCUGUGCCGGCCCGAGUCAGUUUGCUCCGUGGUUAGAGCAUGGCCUGCGGACCAAGUCACGGGUUCGAUUCCAGUCAAGGGCACGGACCCUGAUUGCAGCUCAGUCCCCGGUCCUGGCUGCGGUUGUGCAGGAGGCAACCAGUCGAUGUGUCCCUCUCACGAUGAUGUUUCUCUCUCUCGCCCUUUCUCUCCCUCCCACUCUAU